rnacentral:rRNA from 1 species
UGGGGAAUAUUGGACAAUGGGGGCAACCCUGAUCCAGCCAUGCCGCGUGAGUGAUGAAGGCCUUCGGGUUGUAAAGCUCUUUUGGCGGGGACGAUGAUGACGGUACCCGCAGAAUAAGCCCCGGCUAACUUCGUGCCAGCAGCCGCGGUAAGACGAAGGGGGCAAGCGUUGUUCGGAAUUACUGGGCGUAAAGGGCGCGUAGGCGGUUUGCUUAGUCGGGCGUGAAAGCCCUGGGCUUAACCUGGGAUGUGCGCUUGAUACUGGCAGGCUUGAGUGUGGGAGAGGUUGGUGGAAUUCCCAGUGUAGAGGUGAAAUUCGUAGAUAUUGGGAAGAACACCGGUGGCGAAGGCGGCCAACUGGACCACAACUGACGCUGAGGCGCGAAAGCGUGGGGAGCAAACA